UACAGAGGUGGCAAACGUUGUCCGGAUUUAUUGGGUUUAAAGGGUGCGUAGGCGGUUCUAUAAGUCAGUGGUGAAAUACGGCAGCUUAACUGUCGAGGUGCCAAUGAUACUGUAGGACUAGAGUACUGAUGAGGUAGGCGGAAUGGACGGUGUAGCGGUGAAAUGCUUAGAGAUCGUCCAGAACACCGAUAGCGAAGGCAGCUUACUAAGGAGUAACUGACGCUGAGGCACGAAAGUGUGGGGAUCAAACAGG
rnacentral:rRNA from 1 species